rnacentral:rRNA from 1 species
AGAGUUUGAUCAUGGCUCAGAUUGAACGCUGGCGGCAUGCCUUACACAUGCAAGUCGAACGGCAGCACGGGGGCAACCCUGGUGGCGAGUGGCGAACGGGUGAGUAAUACAUCGGAACGUGUCCUGGAGUGGGGGAUAGCUCGGCGAAAGCCGGAUUAAUACCGCAUACGCUCUGAGGAGGAAAGCGGGGGAUCUUCGGACCUCGCGCUCAAGGGGCGGCCGAUGGCGGAUUAGCUAGUUGGUGGGGUAAAGGCCUACCAAGGCGACGAUCCGUAGCUGGUCUGAGAGGACGACCAGCCACACUGGGACUGAGACACGGCCCAGACUCCUACGGGAGGCAGCAGUGGGGAAUUUUGGACAAUGGGGGAAACCCUGAUCCAGCAAUGCCGCGUGUGUGAAGAAGGCCUUCGGGUUGUAAAGCACUUUUGUUCGGGAAGAAAUCCUUCGAGUUAAUACCUUGAGGGGAUGACGGUACCGGAAGAAUAAGCACCGGCUAACUACGUGCCAGCAGCCGCGGUAAUACGUAGGGUGUGAGCGUUAAUCGGAAUUACUGGGCGUAAAGCGUGCGCAGGCGGUUCGCUAAGACCGAUGUGAAAUCCCCGGGCUUAACCUGGGAACUGCAUUGGUGACUGGCGGGCUAGAGUAUGGCAGAGGGGGGUAGAAUUCCACGUAGCAGUGAAAUGCGUAGAGAUGUGGAGGAAUACCGAUGGCGAAGGCAGCCCCCUGGGCCAAUACUGACGCUCAUGCACGAAAGCGUGGGGAGCAAACAGGAUUAGAUACCCCCGUAGUCC